rnacentral:piRNA from 1 species
UCCAAGGUGUCCAGAGGAGCCCAACACA